rnacentral:rRNA from 1 species
AUUGAAUGCUGGCGGCAUGCUUUACACAUGCAAGUCGAACGGUAACAGGCCGCAAGGUGCUGACGAGUGGCGAACGGGUGAGUAAUGCAUCGGAACGUGCCCAGUCGUGGGGGAUAACGCAGCGAAAGCUGCGCUAAUACCGCAUACGAUCUAUGGAUGAAAGCGGGGGACCGUAAGGCCUCGCGCGAUUGGAGCGGCCGAUGUCAGAUUAGGUAGUUGGGGGGGUAAAGGCUCACCAAGCCAACGAUCUGUAGCUGGUCUGAGAGGACGACCAGCCACACUGGGACUGAGACACGGCCCAGACUCCUACGGGAGGCAGCAGUGGGGAAUUUUGGACAAUGGGCGCAAGCCUGAUCCAGCAAUGCCGCGUGCAGGAAGAAGGCCUUCGGGUUGUAAACUGCUUUUGUACGGAACGAAACGGUCCUGGUUAAUACCUGGGGCUAAUGACGGUACCGUAAGAAUAAGCACCGGCUAACUACGUGCCAGCCGCCGCAGUAAAAC